CGCCCAACAGCUAGCUCACCCCAAAACACCCAACAAAUUACCCAUUCAUACCCCUAAAAAUACCCACAUAUUUUAAACAAACCAUUUUUCCCCCUAAGUAUGGGCGACAGAAAAGGACCUCAGAAGCAAUAGAGAAAGUACCGCAAGGGAAAGCUGAAAGAGAAAUGAAACAACCCAGUAAAGCACUAAAAAGCAGAGACUUCCCCUCGUACCUUUUGCAUCAUGAUUUAGCAAGAAACACCUAAGCAAAAAGAAUUAUAGUUUAAUUUCCCGAAACUAAGUGAGCUACUCCAAGACAGCCUAAUUACAGGGCAACCCCGUCUCUGUGGCAAAAGAGUGGGAAGAGCUUCGAGUAGAGGUGACAGACCUACCGAACUUAGUUAUAGCUGGUUGCCUGAGAACCGAAUAGAAGUUCAACCCUUUAAAUUCUUUAAUUACCCUCGGCCUAUUGCCCCCUACAAAUUAAAAGAAGUUAAAGGAGUUAAUCAAAGGGGGUACAGCCCCUUUGAAACAAGACACAACUUUCCCAGCUGGGUAAAGAUCAUAACAAACUUAAGGUACAUGCCCAAGUGGGCUUAAAAGCAGCCACCUAUUAUAGAAAGCGUCAAAGCUCAAGCAUUUAUACUUUCCCCCAAUACCGACAACACCAUCUUAACCCGCUUAACCCUAUCAGGCUACUCCAUUCAUCCAUGGAGGAAACUAUGCUAAUAUGAGUAAUAAGAAAGACCCCCGUCUUUCUCCCCGCACAAGUGUACAUCGGAACGAACUAACACCGAAAAUUAACGGCCCCAAAACAAAGAGGGAACCGGACAAAAAACAAACAACCAGAAACCAUCCAACCCAUCUACCGUUAACCCUACACCGGAGUGCUUCCUUAAGGAAAGACAAAAAGAGAAAGAAGGAACUCGGCAAACAUAAGCCUCGCCUGUUUACCAAAAACAUCGCCUCUUGAAACACCCAACAUAAGAGGUCCCGCCUGCCCUGUGACUAUAUGUUUAACGGCCGCGGUAUUUUGACCGUGCAAAGGUAGCGCAAUCACUUGUCUUUUAAAAUGAAGACCCGUAUGAAUGGCAAAACGAGGGCUUAACUGUCUCCUUUCUCCCGUCAAUGAAAUUGAUCUUCCCGUGCAGAAGCGGGAAUACACCCAUAAGACGAGAAGACCCUAUGGAGCUUCAGGCACCAGAACAGACUAUGUCAAGCACCCUAACACAAAAGACAAAACUAAUUAGACCCUGCUCCACAUGCCUUUGGUUGGGGCGACCGCGGGGAAACGAAAAACCCCCAUGCAGACUGGGAGCACAACCCCUCCUACAACCCAGAGUUACAACUCUAAGAAACAGAACCUCUGACUAAAAAGAUCCGGCUAUUCAAGCCGAUCAACGGACCGAGUUACCCUAGGGAUAACAGCGCAAUCCCCUUCUAGAGCCCAUAUCGACAAGGGGGUUUACGACCUCGAUGUUGGAUCAGGACAUCCUAUUGGUGCAGCCGCUAUUAAGGGUUCGUUUGUUCAACGAUUAAAGUCCUACGUGAUCUGAGUUCAGACCGGAGUAAUCCAGGUCAGUUUCUAUCUAUGACAUAAUCUUUUCUAGUACGAAAGGACCGAAAAGAAAAGGCCCAUGUUCCCAACACGCCUUACCCUUACCUAAUGAAAGCAACUUAAAUAGAUAAAAGGGUAUACUUCCCCAAACUUAAGAGAACAGUUU
rnacentral:rRNA from 1 species